UGAAGGUAAUCGUGCAUGUUGAGCUUAACCCUUUGAUUUACCAGUUGUAGUCUACGUGUUCGACGAAAUGUCUAGUUGAUUUCAGACCUCAGUUCAUCACGUGUGCUUCUGGGUCGAAACAUUUUGCUUCCUUGACUUUCAUAAUUCCAAGCUAUGGCAGAGCCAAACAAAGAUAUUCUGACAGUGGAAAGAAGGACUUGAGUCCUAGUCUUCAUCUUGCUUCAGCAGCGGAAGCUGGAGCUUUGGUUUGUUUUUGCACAAAUCCAGUUUGGCUUGUGAAAACAAGAAUGCAGCUUCAGAGUCCUCUUCAUCAAGCUCAACCUUAUUCUGGGCUAUAUGGUCUGCCUUCUGUCUUUCAUUCAAUUAAUAAUAAUGUGUU